rnacentral:rRNA from 1 species
GGGAUCGAGGGCUGCAACUCGCCCUCGUGAACCCGGAAUCCCUAGUAACCGCGGUUCUCCAUACCGCGGUGAAUACGUCCCUGCCCCUUGUACACACCGCCCGUCAACUCACCCGAGUGGAGCUGGGGCAAGGUCCCAGCUCCAAAAGAGCUGGGAUCGAGCCUUGGCUCCGCGAGGGGGGGUAAGUCGUAACAAGGUAGCCGUAGGGGAACCUGCGGCUGGGUCACCUCCCA